GAUCAUGGCUCAGAACGAACGCUGGCGGCGCGUCUAAGCAUGCAAGUCGAACGGCAAGAGGUAGCAAUACCUCCUAGAGUGGCGGACUGGUGAGUAACACGUGGGUGACAUACCCUUCAGAUGGGGAUAGCUAUUAGAAAUAGUAGAUAAUACCGAAUACGAGCACAGGGGUUAGAGAUCUGUGAGGAAAGGAGCUAAGGCUCCGCUGAAGGAAUGGCCUGCGGCCCAUUAGCUAGUUGGUGAGGUAAGAGCCCACCAAGGCGAUGAUGGGUAUCCGGCCUUAGAGGGUGAACGGACACAUUGGGACUGAGAUACGGCCCAGACUCCUACGGGAGGCAGCAGCUAAGAAUAUUCCGCAAUGGACGAAAGUCUGACGGAGCGACGCCGCGUGGAUGAAGAAGGCCGGAAGGUUGUAAAAUCCUUUUGAAACUGAAGAAUAAGCGUUGUAGGGAAUGACAGCGUGGUGACAGUAGGUUUUGAAUAAGCAACGGCUAAUUACGUGCCAGCAGCCGC
rnacentral:rRNA from 1 species